rnacentral:rRNA from 1 species
CUGGUGCCAGCAGCCGCGGUAAUUCCAGCCCAAUAGCGUAUNUUAAAGUUGUUGCAGUUAAAAGCUCGUAGUUGAAUUUCGGGGUCUAUCCGUCGGUCGGGCUUUUUGGUCUGUACUGGCGUGAUGGAUUCCUACCUUCUGAAUAACCGGCAUGCCAUUAAUUUGGUGCGCUGGGGAAGCAGGACUGUUACCUUGAAAAAAUUAGAGUGCUUAAAGCAGGCUUGCGCCUGAAUACAUUAGCAUGGAAUAAUGAAAUAGGACGGCUUGGUUCUAUUUUGUUGGUUUCUAGGAUCGACGUAAUGAUUAAUAGGGAUAGUUGGGGGCAUUAGUAUUCAAUUGUCAGAGGUGGAAUUCUUGGAUUUAUUGAAGACUAACUACUGCGAAAGCAUUUGCCAAGGAUGUUUUCAUUAAUCAAGAACGAAAGUUAGGGGAUCGAAGACGAUCAGAUACCGUCGUAGUCUUAACCAUAAACUAUGCCGACUAGGGAUCGGAUGAUGUUAAUUUUUUAAUGACUCAUUCGGCGCCUUACG